CAUGACUCAAACUCCAUAACAGUUAGAGAAUCAUAUUGGCAAUUACACUGAUAUCAACAAAUAAUAGUUCAACAAAAGAUUAAUCUACUUUUUCUUUUUCUCCCUUAACUGAACUUAACCAAUUCACAUAACUAGCUUGGUCUUUAAUCACUAACCUACUAACUAACAUCUCUAACUUCUUAAUUUGAAUACCCUAAUUGAACCUCUUCAUUAAUUGAACCUAUAAAGGAAUAAUAGAA
rnacentral:lncRNA from 1 species